rnacentral:sRNA from 1 species
AGCUGUUUGACGUUCGGAUAAAUUUCAAGUAAGAAAGACUUUUAACAAGGAUUCCUCUUGAAUGUUUAAAUGAAGAGCUCAAUAGUAAUAAAACGUGGCAACCCCACACAGGAGGAUUUUUUCAUGACUCAAGGUACAGUAAAAUGGUUUAAUGCAGAAAAAGGUUUCGGUUUCAUCGAAGUAGAAGGACAGGACGAUGUAUUCGUACAUUUCUCCGCGAUCCAAGGCGAAGGCUUCAAGACUCUUGAAGAAGGCCAAGCAGUUACUUUCGACAUCGAGCAGGGUCAGCGUGGACCACAAGCUGCUAACGUUCAAAAGUAAUGAAUGAUAAAAAGAUCCCUUUCGAGGGAUCUUUUUUCU